UAUACAUAUGUAAAUUAUAAAUUGGUCAUAACCAAAUGUAACAUAACUAGGAAUAAUUAACCUAGUUAGUAAAUUGAAUUGGAAAAAAAAAACAAUAAGGAAAAACAUGAAAUAGAUAACCAUUUUACAAAAUAUGGAACUAUAGGGACUAAAAGAGGCAAAAGGGAAAAAUGUUUUUAAUUAAAACAAAUAAACACCAAAACACACACACAUGUGUGUGUUUGGUCGACGUUUACACAGAGCCAGGAGAAGGGUUCUUUUCAAAACCCUAAACUCACUAAAAUCCAUCAAAAUCUAAGGGAAAUCGAGUUGGAAAUUAGGGCUUUAACUAAAUUCAUGAUCAACCAUGCUAGGAGAUCACAAGUUGACUCUAAACAAGCUAGGUGGGAGCUUGGAAAGGAACGGGUCAAACGGAUCAUGGAUGCGAAGAAUGUUUGCGCGAACGCGAGGUAAGUAAAGCUUACGCCCAAUUGUAGUAAACGUAUGUAUUUUAUAUAUGAUAAAUGUGACAACCGAUUACAUUCGAAAUUGAAGUUCCGACACUAAGCGAUGUGAGUCGGAACGAAUAAAAAUGAUCAAAACCAUGGUUAAUGGUAAAAUGGACAAAAGGGUAAUUUAGUCGUGAAUCGACUAAGAAUUUAUAAGAUUUCUUUAAGGUUACCUUAUAGCGAAACUUGAAAUGGGUCGGAUGUGUGAAGGGGAUAUUAAAAGUCAUGUUUUGACAUAAGUAUAAAUGUUUGGUCAUAAAUACCAAAUGGGUCAAAUGGUGGUGAUGACACCAUUUGACAAUAUCGACUAAUGUUUGGUUGUUAAGUUAAAUGUUCACAGGAGUGAACGGGAAGUGGAUUAUUGCGUUGCUAUAAAGUAGCGGCUAAUAAAAGAAAGGUACAAAACGGGUCUAUAUGUUGACUCGAGCCAGGUACGCAUUAAUUAGAUCAUGGCGAUAUGCGUAGUUGUAUUUUAGAAUAUAAGUUACUAUGAAAUAUAGCGAUGAUAUCGCCACAUUGAAUAUUUGGUCAAAAGAUGGUUAGAACUCGUUGGUAGUCGUCAAAAAGGAAGGAAUUCCGUAGACGAGCCAAACGGGUCGAAUAAUCAAGUAAGGCAUGGUUAUUGUUUUGGAUUAUGAUGGUUUGAUGGUUGAUUUUGAAUAUUUUAUAACAUAUUAGAAAUAUGAGGUUUUAAUGAAUUAGUAUCAUAGAAAACUGAAAACCGAGAGUCGGGUCUUGGAGUAAUGAUCAAAUAAAACAAAACCUGACAUUCCAGGUACUACCGUAAAUUACGGUAGAACCGUAAUUUACGGUGGUUGUGAUAUGGUUUACGGAGCAGAUCUCCUGGUUUACGGUGACCAGACAUUUCCAGGUCUCACCGUAAAUUACGGUGAUACCGUAAUUUACGGUGGAUUCAGAAUCACUUUUUAUAUUUUUGUUAUUUCUAAUGUGGCAUUAAGCCUUGGGAUUAUGCUAUUAUAUAACAACGUCAAAACUAAUGAUUUUAACGGUUUUGAUCAUAGGUGAAUGCCAAGAGUGCCCGGAUGAAGAUCAAGCUCGAUGAGGAACCGAACACAAUAAAAUCUAACACUCGGGAUUAAAGCUUCCGCACGGCGUUACGCCAUAUCUUUUAAAUGACGAACUUAUUUAUAUUACGUUGAAAACUUUUAAGUUGUAAAAAGUUUUUUUUGAUUACUUGUAUUUUCUAAGAAUACUUAAUCGCAAUUUCAUGUUUAUUUUCGAUAUUUAUACGAAAACCUUAAAAAUUAUAACAUGGGUGUUACAAGUUGGUAUCAGAGCCUUGGUUUAAGAGAUUCAAGUAUGGUGUGGAAAACCAUGCUUGGACUUAAACCUUACGCUCUUGAUAAAGAAUAGUGUUCGGUUCGAGGCUUGAUCGCAAAUCCGGUAAGUGCAUGUAUGCUGAUGGUCUAGUGUAUUAAAGUAUUGUAAAUAACACAUAGGGUUACCGUGUAAUACACAUUACCCCAACUAAAUGAUUGAUAUAGUUGACAAAAAUACGCGCGUUGACGCUUAUAGUAGAAAAAGCCUUGUAUUAUAAUACAGGGGAUUAUUGAAGUUGACAUUACUAACUUUUGUGAAUGUCUUGAUUUAAGGACACUUGCAUUUAAAGAUGACAAAGGACAAACAAAUUAAGGAUGUGAUAGAGGAAUAGUCCGAGGCAUGACAAGAGGAACAUGCUCACUAAGGACUAAAUCGCAUAAAGACCGCGAACAAGGUUAAUGGCAAGAGACGCCCGUCGGGGCAAGCAUUAUCAGUUGACUCUAAACAAGCUAGGUGGGAGCUUGGAAAGGAACGGGUCAAACGGAUCAUGGAUGCGAAGAAUGUUUGCGCGAACGCGAGGUAAGUAAAGCUUACGCCCAAUUGUAGUAAACGUAUGUAUUUUAUAUAUGAUAAAUGUGACAACCGAUUACAUUCGAAAUUGAAGUUCCGACACUAAGCGAUGUGAGUCGGAACGAAUAAAAAUGAUCAAAACCAUGGUUAAUGGUAAAAUGGACAAAAGGGUAAUUUAGUCGUGAAUCGACUAAGAAUUUAUAAGAUUUCUUUAAGGUUACCUUAUAGCGAAACUUGAAAUGGGUCGGAUGUGUGAAGGGGAUAUUAAAAGUCAUGUUUUGACAUAAGUAUAAAUGUUUGGUCAUAAAUACCAAAUGGGUCAAAUGGUGGUGAUGACACCAUUUGACAAUAUCGACUAAUGUUUGGUUGUUAAGUUAAAUGUUCACAGGAGUGAACGGGAAGUGGAUUAUUGCGUUGCUAUAAAGUAGCGGCUAAUAAAAGAAAGGUACAAAACGGGUCUAUAUGUUGACUCGAGCCAGGUACGCAUUAAUUAGAUCAUGGCGAUAUGCGUAGUUGUAUUUUAGAAUAUAAGUUACUAUGAAAUAUAGCGAUGAUAUCGCCACAUUGAAUAUUUGGUCAAAAGAUGGUUAGAACUCGUUGGUAGUCGUCAAAAAGGAAGGAAUUCCGUAGACGAGCCAAACGGGUCGAAUAAUCAAGUAAGGCAUGGUUAUUGUUUUGGAUUAUGAUGGUUUGAUGGUUGAUUUUGAAUAUUUUAUAACAUAUUAGAAAUAUGAGGUUUUAAUGAAUUAGUAUCAUAGAAAACUGAAAACCGAGAGUCGGGUCUUGGAGUAAUGAUCAAAUAAAACAAAACCUGACAUUCCAGGUACUACCGUAAAUUACGGUAGAACCGUAAUUUACGGUGGUUGUGAUAUGGUUUACGGAGCAGAUCUCCUGGUUUACGGUGACCAGACAUUUCCAGGUCUCACCGUAAAUUACGGUGAUACCGUAAUUUACGGUGGAUUCAGAAUCACUUUUUAUAUUUUUGUUAUUUCUAAUGUGGCAUUAAGCCUUGGGAUUAUGCUAUUAUAUAACAACGUCAAAACUAAUGAUUUUAACGGUUUUGAUCAUAGGUGAAUGCCAAGAGUGCCCGGAUGAAGAUCAAGCUCGAUGAGGAACCGAACACAAUAAAAUCUAACACUCGGGAUUAAAGCUUCCGCACGGCGUUACGCCAUAUCUUUUAAAUGACGAACUUAUUUAUAUUACGUUGAAAACUUUUAAGUUGUAAAAAGUUUUUUUUUGAUUACUUGUAUUUUCUAAGAAUACUUAAUCGCAAUUUCAUGUUUAUUUUCGAUAUUUAUACGAAAACCUUAAAAAUUA